rnacentral:siRNA from 1 species
ACCAUGUGAGAGACUACUGAUGGA